rnacentral:rRNA from 1 species
CUACGGGUCGCUGCAGUAGGGAAUCUUAGACAAUGGGGGAAACCCUGAUCUAGCCAUGCCGCGUGAGUGAUGAAGGCCUUAGGGUUGUAAAGCUCUUUCGCUGGGGAAGAUAAUGACGGUACCCAGUAAAGAAACCCCGGCUAACUCCGUGCCAGCAGCCGCGGUAAUACGGAGGGGGUUAGCGUUGUUCGGAAUUACUGGGCGUAAAGCACGCGUAGGCGGGCUAUUAAGUCAGGGGUGAAAUCCCGGGGCUCAACCCCGGAACUGCCUUUGAUACUGGUAGUCUUGAGUUCGAGAGAGGUGAGUGGAAUUCCGAGUGUAGAGGUGAAAUUCGUAGAUAUUCGGAGGAACAUCAGUGGCGAAGGCGACUCACUGGCUCGAUACUGACGCUGAGGUGCGAAAGUGUGGGGAGCAAACAGGAUUAGAUACCCUUGUAGUC